AGAAUAUAUGUAAAUAUUUAAAUCUCUUCCAUAUGUUUAAGAAUAAAAGAAAACAAGCAGCGUCUUUUUCCAAUGGCUAUGGUUUAUUCACCAGUGAUGGCCACUGACUGGAGUUGGCACCGGCGCGGGGACGGUUGGUUCGCUAGAGAAGAUGCGUAAGCCGGCUGGAGUUUCUGUCGCCGCUGUGGCGUUGAACUCCGACCAGAUCUGGGCGUGGAAAAGGGAGGAGAUGACAGCGCCGAUCAGAUCCGGUCCGUUGAUGGGUUGUUCGCGACGGAGAAGGGAAGGGGGAAGGGAGUGACGCCGGAAAAAGGAAAAGGGGAGGUGGCGCUGGUCUUGGAAUUCCGGCGAUGGGAGGCGCAAAGGAGUGACGUUAAUGACUCCGGCGAGAACCAACCGGAGUCGACUCGAAAAUGGAUCAGUUUUUGGUGAUUUUUUUAAUUUCUGAUCUGAUUUUUUUAGUUUCUGAUCUGAUUUUGUCUACUGUGUAUAUGAAUUUGAAUCUGCGUACGUGUAAAUUAACAUAUGAAUAUAUAUGCAUAUAACAGUGUAUAGAAUGAUAACAGUGUCUAUUUUUUGUUCUCUGCUAUUCUCUUUUCGUUUUAAUUUAAAUCAUAUAGUAUUAACAUACAGUGUUUUCAAUCACAUAACACAUAGUAAUAAAGAUUCACUAAAUCAAUUAACCAUCCAUAAUGCAUGAAAUCACUUAAUAUUUUCAUUCAUACUUUUACUUUAUAGCAUAAGAUGAUUCAAGUUCGAAUAAGAACUUGUGAUAGAUUCAAACGGAAUAAGAAGCAAGAAGUAAUUAUUACCGAAAAUUCUAAAACUUCAAACUUUCUUUCUUUUGUUUUACUCUCUUCUUGAUCUCUUUUUUACUCUCUAGUUUUCUCUGUUUUUUUUUUUACUGUCUGAUAUAGUGUAGAAUUUAUGUUAAGGGUAAAGAAGAGUUUUUAAAUACAGAACUUUGGGGGGAAAAUUAGGGUGGGAACAGUUAUAGAUAAGGGAAGGAUUUUAAAAUUUGAAUGAUUAUUUUAUUUUUUAUUUAUAUUAUUUUUUUUUUAUUUAAUAGAAGACAAUAAUAAUAAUAAUAAUAAUAAAUAUAAUAAUAAUUAAUUAAUUUUUUUUAGCAUAAUAGCAAUUUAUAAAUAGUCAAAAUAAAUAUAAUAAAAUAGUAUUAAAAUUACUAAUUUAUUUAUUAAAUUUUAGAUAAAUAAUAUACAUAUAUUUGGAUUUUUGUAUUAUUAGUAUAAAAAUAAAAAUAAAUAAAAAUAAAAUAUCUCAAAAUUAACUUUAUUUAUUUAUUUAUUUCUUUUUUAACUAAAACUUAAUUAAAAGUAAAAUAAGAAAUUACAUAAUAUUAUACCAAAUAUAAAUAUCUAAUAUUGAAAAUAAGCUAAAACUCGAGGAUGAUAAAAAAUCACAUGUCUACACUACUGUCCUACAAGAGGAACAAGAAUAGUUGAAUCUCUGAUGUUCCGACUUUUGACGAAAUAUUUUGCAUUCUUUUCUUGGGAAAAUUGUAUGUUUUCAAGCAACCAAGGUUGCAUUAAAUGCUGGAUUUUAGUGUUUCAGGGUAAGAAGCUAGUUGAAGGAAAAGACUCAGAAAAGUUGCAGAAAAACACUACUGACGGUCAAAAUGGUGGACCACCAGUCUUGUGACGGACCACCAGCUUAGCCGUCAGGCCCAAACAGAAUUC
rnacentral:lncRNA from 1 species